rnacentral:rRNA from 1 species
GACGAACUGUCCUAACGUUGUUCGGAAUCACUGGGCUUAAAGGGCGCGUAGGCGGUCGAUCAAGUCAGGGGUGAAAUCCUACAGCUUAACUGUAGAAGUGCCUUUGAUACUGGUUGUCUUGAGGGAGGUAGGGGUGUGUGGAACUCACAGUGGAGCGGUGAAAUGCGUUUGAUAUUGUGAGGAACGCCGGAGGCGAAGCGACGCACUGGACCUCUUCUGACGCUGAGGCGCGAAAGCUAGGGGAGCAAACGGG